GUGAACUUCACUACAAGCACGUUGCUUCGGCGGGUGUCUCGGCGGAGGUCCCCACUGGGGGCCUGCGCAGGGGCGCGAAGCCCGCCGGCAGCCUACUAUACUCUGUCUCUUUGCGUUGGCAUCUCGAGAAAAAGCAAACAAGUUAAAACUUUCAACAACGGAUCUCUUGGUUCUGGCAUCGAUGAAGAACGCAGCGAAAUGCGAUAAGUAAUGCGAAUUGCAGAAUUCCGUGAGUCAUCGAAUCUUUGAACGCACAUUGCGCCCGCCAGCAUUCUGGCGGGCAUGCCUGUUCGAGCGUCAUUUCAACCCUCAGGCCCUGCCUGGCGUUGGAGGACUGCGCACGCAGCCUCCCAAAGCGAGCGGCGGCGGCGCCCCGAAACCGAACGCAGUAGUUUUCUCUCGUUCUGGGUCCGGGUCGUUGUCCUGCCGGAAAACCCCCAUCUAUUCAAUGGUUGACCUCGAAUCAGGUAGGAAUACCCGCUGAACUUAAGCAUAUCAAUAAGCGGAGGAA
rnacentral:rRNA from 1 species